rnacentral:rRNA from 1 species
UACGGAAGGGGGCUAGCGUUGCUCGGAAUUACUGGGCGUAAAGGGAGCGUAGGCGGGUUAUCAAGUUGGGGGUGAAAGCCCGGGGCUCAACCGUCGGAAUUGCCUUCAAAACUGAUAACCUGGAGUAUGGAAGAGGUAAGUGGAACUCCGAGUGUAGAGGUGAAAUUCGUAGAUAUUCGGAAGAACACCAGUGGCGAAGGCGACUUACUGGUCCAUUACUGACGCUGAGGCUCGAAAGCGUGGGGAGCAAACAGG